rnacentral:rRNA from 1 species
GAUGAACGCUGGCGGCGUGCCUAAUACAUGCAAGUCGAGCGAACAGACGAGGAGCUUGCUCCUCUGACGUUAGCGGCGGACGGGUGAGUAACACGUGGAUAACCUACCUAUAAGACUGGGAUAACUUCGGGAAACCGGAGCUAAUACCGGAUAAUAUAUUGAACCGCAUGGUUCAAUAGUGAAAGACGGUUUUGCUGUCACUUAUAGAUGGAUCCGCGCCGCAUUAGCUAGUUGGUAAGGUAACGGCUUACCAAGGCAACGAUGCGUAGCCGACCUGAGAGGGUGAUCGGCCACACUGGAACUGAGACACGGUCCAGACUCCUACGGGAGGCAGCAGUAGGGAAUCUUCCGCAAUGGGCGAAAGCCUGACGGAGCGACGCCGCGUGAGUGAUGAAGGUCUUCGGAUCGUAAAACUCUGUUAUUAGGGAAGAACAAAUGUGUAAGUAACUAUGCACGUCUUAACGGUACCUAAUCAGAAAGCCACGGCUAACUACGUG